rnacentral:lncRNA from 1 species
GGCAGUCGCUUCUACAUUUCCUUUGGUUGGACAAGACGACGUAGGAAAAGAGAUUCCGUUUUUCAUGGUGCUCACGUUGAACAGGAGCGUCAACCCAGCCAGUCACAAGUCUGAUGCCUCCAGCCAUCACCCCUUUUUGAUUUAUUCUUAAUCAUAAGGAAUAAAUAAUGAAACAUGGUGC